AGGUUUUUGUGGGGAGUUGUUUUGUUAUUUCUUCUGUAAAUAUUAUUACACUGUGUUUUCAAAUAUAAAAAGUGCCGAAAGUGAAAAGCGCUCGUCGCGUUCAGAGGCAUCGAGCAAUUUCCAACACUCCAAGAUUCCAGAAUGAAAACGAAAAUAUUGCUCACAGAAAGGUAGAUAACCAGUUAACUGAUCCUUUAAAUAUAGAAAAGAAACCAAGUAAAAUCAAAUCCGAAAAUCCAUCAAUAAUAUCAUCAAAAAGCACAUGUCAGGAGAAUUAGCCAUGAGAUUUACAGCUAUGAAGGGGAUAACAAGUAAAUGAAUUUUCAAGGACUUUGACAUGUGCUCUUGUAUUCUAUAUAAGAAAAUUAUUAUUACAUCGAUUAAUGAUAUGUGUAAUUACGAUUUAACUUUAACCUAAAUUGAUAA